rnacentral:sRNA from 1 species
UUUCUGCUUUGUGUGUAGCUCUGGAUUAAUUAAUGAAGUGUUAAAGGAUUACAGUCAGUAUGACAUACAGGAUACCUACUACCUGCUAUUAUUGUGCUCAAAAUAAACAAUCGGAUAUUUGCCAAUUCAGUGACAUGGAUAUAAAUCCUUCACUUGGAUUAUUAUAACAAUGGCUUACAAAAAUAUAUCACCAUGUUAUGAUAGAACUUUGCUUGGUUGUCAACUGUUAAUCUGAUCAUGGAUGGGCCGACGUAAGACCUUAAAGAGACCUCCCUAAUUACAUGGCAGCAAAAUGUCUUGUAAUUCUAAUUAGUGGAAGGGGCUCAGUUGCAGACAAGGAUAAGCAAAGCUGAAGUACAAUUUCAAACCAGCUGAGUUCCUGGAAAAUUACUGAAAGCCUUCCUAGCAGCAUCCAAAAUAAUAUGGGUUGGAUUUGUUCUUAAAAGUUUUGCUGUAUUUAGCAUAUAUGUGUGUUGUAUUAGUAUUAUGUGAGUAUUUGAUGGAUUUUAAAAGAUGUGGUUAAAUAUGUGGAUGCUUUGUUCAAAGACUUUUCAAAGCCAAGUAUAACCAUUAGAAAGGUCCUCAGUGUGGAUCAAGAAGAUUUUGAUUAUACUGUACUAAUUUAUAUUGAAUUGAUUCUGAAAUGCAUAUAAAGAAUUAUAGUGACAAAAGAAUUUGAGUAAACUUUACACAGUUUUCACCAAAAUAAACAUUCUACCUUUCUUUUAUUUACAGCUGUUUAAGGUAUAAAAUAAAGGAAUUUAUCACUUUUUAUAAAACUUAAGCUCUUUAAUUUACUUUAAUUUAUAUAUUAUAUGUAUGUUAUGUUAUUCUUAAUUCUAGUUAGUUUUGAUGGGACUUUUAUUAUUUUAUUGACAUUUUCCCCAAAGCAUCUAGAUUCUAGAUGGUCUUCCAAAACAUGGUUGAGGGAUUCUGUCUAAUUAAUGAAUCACCAUCUGCCUAUUAACCCCAACUCCCAAAAGAAAGAAAAAGAUUAAACAUAUAUUUUAAAUGAAUUUAUCUUUAUUGUGACCAUCUUUGUUAUAAAAUGUUUAUAUAGGGCUCAUUCAAUAGAUUGUUUAAAAUUGUCUAUAUUGCUAAUAAAGUGGAAUAUUGUACAGCAUUUUUUUUUUAAAUAUAAAGUUAUAAAGUAAUCACCAGUACCAUUAUUGUUAAUUAUUACUUUCCAAAACAAAAGUUACUCUCAAAGACAGGUGCAGAAUGUCUGAUAUUGACUUCAGAUGUUUAGCCCUAUAAAAUACUGCACUCUUUCUCCAUACCCCAAGACACUACCUUAUUAUUCAUUAUUACUGAUUUUGUCAAUAUUUAUGUAAGAAUAUGUUGAAUGUUAAAAUUAUGUUAAUGUACUUGAAUAUGGUUAUUAUGUAAAAUUUGUACUGGAUAGUCUGGACAGUUUAACAAAUAAGAAUAUAAUAAACAAUAACAAUGACACAUACCCCCCACCAACCAAGAAAAAAAACAACCCUGUGAUA